GACUAAGGUCAUGCUACUCUGAACAAGCCUGAUCCCAUCUGAUCUCGGAAGCUAUGCAGGGUCAGGCCGGGUUAGUAUUUGGAUGGGAGACGACCUAGGGAGACCAGGUGCUGUAGUGU
rnacentral:rRNA from 1 species